rnacentral:lncRNA from 1 species
AUUUAUAUAAUACAACAACCAAAAAAAAAAACUAAGGGUCGUUCAUCGCCCGGUAGAAUUCAUCACUCCUCCUCGUAACAUCCGCCUCGUUAUGUACGUCGGAUGACUCGCCUUGAAUGGGAUGUUGUUGUCGCAUGUUCCUCAACAUGGACUCUCAUUCCGGAUUUGUGGCCGCAAUAACGUCCAAGAAGCCCUCGACUCCACCCAUACGAGAUUUUGUCGCGGUCAACUCGUUACGCAGCUGAGCGGACUCUCUACGCAGCUCCGUGACUUCAUCAUCCCGUCGCUGACCAUAAGACGAUGUCGCUCUCGGAACAUCUUUGACGGAACCAAUACCCAAC